GCAGUCCGAGUACUGGGAUUGGAAUGCUAGAGGGACUCCGCGACCGAUUUUUAAAGGGUUCAAGGGCUGCCUAACUCCCCAAUGAUUGGCUGUAAGAGAGUCCCAGUGCUGAUUGGCUAUUUUUCCUUCAUCAGUUUGAAGCUGGCGGGUGGGGGAGGUGGUUUGCUUGGACUAUACAAUGAAGCACGUUCUCUGGAGCUGAAACGUUGCAGGGUGUUAUCUGAUGAUGAGGUUCCUGCCUGAAACGUUAACUCUGUUUCUCUGACCACAGUUACUGCCUGAGCUGCAUCUUGAAUGACAGAAUUCUGGUUUUCGCUUUUGUUCUUUUUCCAGAAUAUCAUCAGUCAACUUUGGGAGCAUGGAGCACAAAUCUGAAGAGGCACAAAUCAAAGACGAGAAAGACUGCAGGACUGGGGGUAAAAGAUGAGAACACUGAGCAAGAAAUUGGGGAGUGUUGGCCAGAAGAAACUGCAGUCUGAUGGAAGACCGGGGAAGCAGACUUCGUUUCCCCCAUUUUGUGGAUUCUGAACAGUUUCUGGCUCUUGGAUAAUCUAAUCAGAGCAACUGAAUGUGGAUACUGGAGGCUUCAGCACUAUUAGCUGAGAUGUAUCCCAUGUAUUACACUCAGCCUUUGUUUAGUACGAGAUAACGGUGGCGGACAGGAUGCUGCGAGCAGGAAUGUAAUGUGAGGGAGGUUGUCUGGAAAACGUAAUCUUGGCCAGGAAUAAGGCCCCAAUGCGAACGGGUGAAACAUAAUGGUGGCUAGGCAAAAGCGAUUAAUUAAUUCAUAUAUAAAUGAUAUGCAACUAAAACUCGAUUGGGUAUGGCGAUGAAACCGAAAUGUAACUGAGAUAAGUAAUUACUAUAAAGAAUGCUGUACACCGGAGCUCGGUGGGCUUUCGGUGACAAGUUCAUUGAUUGCC